rnacentral:tRNA from 1 species
AUUUAUAUAAUAUAAAAAUUAUUUUUAACUUCCAAUUAAAAAAUCUAGCAUAUACUAGUAUAAAUA